rnacentral:rRNA from 1 species
CCUUCCUAGUUCCCUGGAACGGGACGCCAUAGAGGGUGAGAGCCCCGUCUGGUCGGAUGCCAAGCCUCUGUAAAGCUCCUUCGACGAGUCGAGUAGUUUGGGAAUGCUGCUCAAAAUGGGAGGUAUAUGUCUUCUAAAGCUAAAUAUUGGCCAGAGACCGAUAGCGCACAAGUAAAGUGAUCGAAAGAUGAAAAGCACUUUGAAAAGAGAGUUAAAAAGUACGUGAAAUUGUUGAAAGGGAAGCGCCCAUGACCAGACUUGGGCCCGGUGAAUCACCCGGCGUUCUCGCCGGUGCACUUUGCCGGGCACAGGCCAGCAUCAGUCUGGCGCGGGGGAUAAAGGCUCUGGGAAUGUGGCUCCUCCGGGAGUGUUAUAGCCCACUGCGCAAUACCCUGCGCCGGACUGAGGUACGCGCUUCCGCAAGGAUGCUGGCGUAAUGGUCAUCAGCGACCCGUCUUGAAACACGGACCAAGGAGUCGUCUUCGUAUGCGAGUGUUCGGGUGUCAAACCCCUACGCGGAAUGAAAGUGAACGCAGGUGAGAGCUUCGGCGCAUCAUCGACCGAUCCUGAUGUUCUCGGAUGGAUUUGAGUAAGAGCAUACGGGGCCGGACCCGAAAGAAGGUGAACUAUGCCUGUAUAGGGUGAAGCCAGAGGAAACUCUGGUGGAGGCUCGCAGCGGUUCUGACGUGCGAAUCGAUCGUCAAAUAUGGGCA